rnacentral:ncRNA from 1 species
UUAUUUAGCUAGGGGUGCCUAAUGCUGAGAGAAGCAAUAAUUGCUUUAACCCUUGAACCUGAUGUGGAUAAUGCCAUCGAAGGAAAGCUUUAAAAGAUUUCA